CUCCUCUCCUCUGUUCUGUAGGACCUGAAGAAAAAGAAGAAGCCGAGUAAUCAAAGGAACAAGAAGAAGAAGGUGAGCUCUGGCUCUGCCUCUGCUUCUGGUUCUGGCUCGGCUCCCUCGGGUCAGGUGGGCCGCUUCAAGAAUGGCAUGCUGAUCCUCAGCUCCAAGGAGAUCCAGAAGAUCAAAAGCAACAAAAGGCGCAAAUAGGUGAGCGAUUAAAUCCUCCAGGAUGGGAAAACAUAAAGUACCACACAAACACACAGUCAGAGA